rnacentral:misc_RNA from 1 species
GAUGAAGAACGUAGCAAAUCGCGAUAUGUAGUGUGAUCUGCCUAUAGUGAAUCAUCAAAUUUUUGAACGCAUCUUGCACCCUUGGGUAUUCCUGAGGGUACGCCUGUUUCAGUAUCAUUUUAACCUUUUCCUCGGUCAUUUAGUUGACUAGGAAAAAAAAUGACUAUUGGCCCUGAGAAAUUUUCUUUCUUCACGGCUUAAAUCCUCGGUCAGUUUGGCUGGUAAUUACCUUUUGGUAGAUUCUCUCUUCUAAAAGUAACCCUAUCCACCUUUAUAUUUGACCCAAAUCAACCAUCUUGAUCUGAAAUCAGGCGGGAUUACCCGCUGAACUUAAGCAUAUCAAUAAGCGGAGGA